rnacentral:tRNA from 1 species
GCGCCCAUCGUCUAGCGGUUAGGACAUCGCCCUUUCACGGCGGUAACAGGGGUUCGAUUCCCCUUGGGCGUGCCA